rnacentral:lncRNA from 1 species
CCAGCCUCGUCCCUGGCGCUUUGAUGUGCUUACUGGUUGCGUGACGCACGCGCGGGAAUCGAGGUGCGUUGCUCAAUACGGGACGCGGAAGCGCCUCGCAGAAAACGUGUCGAUUUCUGAAAUUUCUGUCGAUUUCUGAACUUUCAAAGCCAUUGUUCGAUUUUCUUGAUUAUUUUGCUUUAUUCACGACGGAAUCAUGGACGAGAUCAGUGAAUCUCUUCACAAUAUUUCUUUUGAAGGUAAAUUUGUAUGAAUUUGUCUCAUUAUAUAUUUCAAUAUGAUUUAUUGUCUUGUUGACUGCUAUAAUUUUAUUAUGUGAACCAAAUAUUUAUAUGAAAAUCAUUCUGAUCAACGUGUUCGUAGGGUUUUAAGGCUGCGUAUGAUUUUGGAGUCCUUUACACUGUACACUUAUAUUUAUUUAGUAUUAGUAAAUUUUCCCUGACAAAUUUUGAGUGAUAUCUUUGCCAGGUUCUUUACUUCUUUGUAGCAGUUAAUAUUUAUAAUUACUGUGUAGUUGUAUUAUUAAAUUGUCAAUUCAUGACAGACAAGUGAAAAAAAGGUUUUGCUAGGCCAAAGAUAUCAGAUUCAAACCAUUCAAUACCCAUUGCAAUCAAACAAUUACCAUAAACAUAUAACCGCCAACAUAUAACACCCCCCCCCCUCCCACCCCCCCUAUGUAUAAUCCCACCAUCCAUAUUUACUCGGGCGAUUCCGAAUAUAAGCCACCUCUAAUGCAAGCCCCUCGACAGGUAUUUAUUAAUGCAGUGAGGGCCAGGAUUCCAACAGCUCAGUCCAUCAAAAAUGCUUACAAAGUACAAACAAAUAUAAGCCCAGGGCUUAUAUUCAGAUGUUUACAAUAUUCAUCUGGCCAAACAUAAUUUGUCAGAGUUUUAUAAAUCCCACGGUCAUUAGAGUUGUAGUUCUAAAAUUAUUUGUAGGAAUGAAAGGUGUAAAAUGAAACUUUGGGAGUUAAGAAACACAAGAGAAGUAAAAUUCCCCUUGAGAAGUAAAAUUGCCUGCCAUUAAGAGGGUCUGAAAGUAAAAUAACAAGCUUGGGUGCAUGGCAGCCUAAUGGGUUAACUUGAUAGUUGGCUGCAAUUACCUGUUGUAGGCUUUAAAGUUGGUUUCAAACUAGGGCUUAUAAAUGCCAGAACUCGUAUGUGAAAAUUGCACGAGUCAAUUUAUCUGACAUACCAUAAUGAACCCAUUUAUGUAAGUGUCUAACACCAACAAUUUUACUCGUCAAUAGGAGAGUGCUGGCACUCAAUGGGUUAACAUAUAAAUGUCUACCUGAACAGUUGGGUUUGGGUUCUACUCUAAAGUAAAUUUCCCUGUAAUCGGAUUGUGGGAUAUGUGACUCUGUCAAUAUUUCUUCAACGUGUGUUCUAAUGAUACGUACUGUCACUAUUUUAUAAGCAUAAUGGACAUUUCUCAUUCAGGGUGAUGUAAGUCAUGUGAACAAGAGAUUAAUACAAGAUCUUUUGAAUGUUCAAAUCGCAGGAGUAGUGGUGUAGUGGUACACUAGCACUUGCCAGACCUAAUUGGCAGAACUAACAAUGACUUUUCUCUAUAACUUUGUGGAUCAAAACCUGGAACAGCGAAAGAAUAGCCUAUGGAGCUACAAAGUUAUAAUAAUACUCUAUUACAUGUAACUUGAUUGUACAGUUAGGUUUAAAAAUUAAUUUAAUCUAAAAUAAUACAAAAUUAAUCAAGAAUUUGCAUCUUCAAUUUUCAAACAUGUUGCUUGGUACUCAGUUUCAAUAACAAUGUCAGUAGCAUGCACUCAUUGUUGGAAAUUUCUGCG